rnacentral:rRNA from 1 species
AACGAACGCUGGCGGCAUGCCUAACACAUGCAAGUCGAACGAGACCUUCGGGUCUAGUGGCGCACGGGUGCGUAACGCGUGGGAAUCUGCCCUUAGGUUCGGAAUAACUCCCCGAAAGGGGUGCUAAUACCGGAUAAUGUCUUCGGACCAAAGAUUUAUCGCCUUUGGAUGGGCCCGCGUUGGAUUAGCUAGUUGGUAGGGUAAAAGCCUACCAAGGCGACGAUCCAUAGCUGGUCUGAGAGGAUGAUCAGCCACACUGGGACUGAGACACGGCCCAGACGACUACGGGAGGCAGCAGUGGGGAAUAUUGGACAAAGGGCGAAAGUCGGAUCCAUCAAUGCCGCGUGAGUGAUGAAGACCGUAGGGUUGUAAAGCGCUUGUACCCGGGAUGAUAAUGACAGUACCGGGAGAAUAAGCUCCGGCUAACUCCGU